UCAUAUUGUAAGAUAUCAACAUGUAAAGCUGUGAAGUAAGAUUUUGAUAUCAUUACAUGAUGUACUCAUUUCAAAUAUUUUAGCAAGUGUUGCAUUUCUUCACAUGGUAAGAUAUCAACUCAAGGCAAAAUGCAAUUUAAUGCAUGGCAUCUGUUCAUAUAUCUCUUGGUGAUGCAAGCAUGGCAUAGUCAUAGCAUCAGUGUUUAUAGCAUCAAUUCAUAUAUUUCUCACCCCUUUGUCAUCAACAAAAAGCAUGGUAGAUGUGAUACAAGGAGAACAAUAUAAGCAAGUUAUCAAGCAUAUAAAGGAAGGCAUGAUACAUAGAUUGCUUUGAAUACUUCUUCCUUUUUUUUUCUUAUUAUAAUCCUUUGUGCAUGAAGGAGGAAAGCCAUUUGUGAUUCCAGCUAUUUGUGAGUUUACUUUGAGUCAAGAUAUGUGUUUGAAACAGCUUUUUGCAAGUAAAAAU
rnacentral:lncRNA from 1 species